UUUCAUGUCAAUAUCAUUUUUCGAGAAUAAUAUAAUUUCUAUCUCAUUGAACCACAAUGCAUGUAGUUUAAUACAUGACUAAACACAUAAUACUAUUAAAAUGGUUUACAUCCUUCGAUACAUAUAGUAAUCAUUGCAAAAGGACAUUUUUUUCUCCCACAUAGUUCAUAUGUAGUAUUAUCUAUUUUAAGUGAGUGUACUAUUGAAGAAAAGUUAAGAUACUGAUUCGAACGAUAAACACUGAUUAAUACCAGACCCACACGCUUUUUCGUAUAUAAGACAGACACAUUUUGUAAAUUCGAGGCAACCAUGCAAUUUUCCUACUCCAUUAUCAAUGUUUAUGUCGCGCAACUAUCAAUGUUCUAAACUUUUUUUUUCGGCAAUGGAUCGAUACCACAACCUCCCGCAUUAAAGGCGUCCAUUGUACCACGAGACCUCCAUGGUUGUUAAACAUAUUGAUGUUUGACUACAGAAAUCUUAUGAUAACGUGUUUAUUCAAUUUUAAUAAAAGAUUUAACAUGAUACAGAAUUAGUUAAUGUGAUGAUUAUUUCUGUUUUAUCGGUUUUUUUUCAACAUUAAAAAAAUAUUCAUUUUGACUUUGAAGCCAGCCAUACAAAGCGUUUGAUAAGUUUUUUAUAGUGUUAUUUUUUUAUCACACAACUCUGUAACUGGAUAGAAGUGUAUUGAUUUUUUUUAUAAAGUUUUCCCUUGUUGUCACAUAUCCAUGUUCAUGUACAUAUGAAGUUUUAAGUGUCACCAAAAAAAUAUUUAUUUUAUUGUGUAUAUUCAUAUUUGUAAACUAAGUUGUAAAUACAUUUUGUUUUGCAUUUUUCAGCUUGACAAAUAAAAUAUGUUAA
rnacentral:lncRNA from 1 species